UCUCCACACUCCUUGAGUGUACAGGACUUCACCAUGGGUUGGACUUGGGUCAUCUUCUUCCUAGUGGCAGCAUCCAGAGGUAUCCAUUCCCAAAUCAAGCUGGAACAAUCUGGGGCUGAGUUGAAGAGGCCUGGGGCUUCAGUGAAAUUGUCCUGCAAGGCUUCUGGCUUUACCAUUACUAGCACCUACAUACACUGGGUGAAGCAGAAGCCUGGAAAGGGACUGGACUGGAUUGGAAGGAUUGAUCCUGAAAAUGGGGAUACAAAAUAUGAUCAGAAGUUUCAGGGCAAGGCCACAUUGACUGCAGACACAUCUUCCAACACAGCCUUCAUGGAGCUGAGCAGUUUGGGAAGCGAUGACUCAGCCACAUAUUACUGUACAAGACAUAGUGUGGCAACCCACAUCCUGA